rnacentral:misc_RNA from 1 species
CAAUAAUCAACACCGCAAGCAUUUCACAUGCAUAUGCAUGAAGAUUAAAAUUGCAAUUUAUGAGGAUGACACUCUAUAAGAAAAAAACCAGCUAUUAAGGACAAAGUAGCACUCACUGAAAUCCCUUAAAUCAUGCACUAAUACGGCGAUAUACUAUGCAGAAAGAAAUUUAUCAACAGCCCUCAAACUAUCUUGCAAUUACAAUGGUGACCAAAAUAAUAUACAAGCAGAACUAUGAAAACUAAUUGACAAUACUAGCUCACAUAUAAUACAUAGCUAGUUGAAGUAACAUCUAAGCAUCAAACAUUGAAGAAGGUGAUAGAAAAGCAUGAAAUUACCAGGGUAAUAAACAAUGUGAUCAAGAUGAUAAUGAUGAUGAUGCGAGCAGCAUAAUUCUAAUGCAGAACAUUCAAAACUAGAGAUAAUUUCCCAAGCAACUAAAGCCAAAAAAAAUAGAAGAAAACAAUUGUUUACAAAUAAAAAUCAGCAAAAAUGAGAAUAUGAGAUUUGCUUUAAAG